rnacentral:lncRNA from 1 species
CGGAAGGGCAUCCUUCGCUUUCCCGUUGGGCUCGGCGACAAACACCAUGCUGGGCUUUGGGCCCGUCACGACAUCAUGGAAGAAGAAGUGUAGGUGGGUGAACUUCUCCUCGCGAAAACCCAGAAGCGUUGGGGUUAAACUUGAGUAGUAAGUGGCCGUGACUAGAGAGAAGAGUAAUGAAAGGUUAAGGCAGAUGAAGAAAGUGGAUUUGGCCAUAUUGCUGGAGAUGCCCUAAGAAAGCAAAUAGCCCAGAGAGAGUGAAGAGUGAUUUCCCGCUACUAGCUAUAGGAAUGCUUCUCGGACUCGAUGUGAGAAUCAUUAAGUUGUGACAAACUAUAUAUAUAAUACUCAGGGUUACUUAAACAAUUAUUUUCUAAUACUGUAACUGAAGAAUUCAAUCAACACUAACUUUCCUAUUAUUUUCCCCCCAGCUAAUAAUGAAAAAACAAAAAUCUGACACAUGUCAAGAGGAAGAGAUGUGUACGAUACGAUUGAAGUGAUGCUGAAUACCGCUGGGGAAAAAACAAGAGAAAUAAGUUAAUUAAUUUUCUUUGCGAAAAUGAAAUAUAAGAAAAACUUAUGUGUAUAAAUUAUAUAUAUAAUAUUCUACUUCUUGAUCUUAACAAUGUUUAGUGUCUUAUGUGAGCGUCUGUGCACAUAAGAGGAAGAGAUGUGUACAUAUUUUGCGAAAUUGAAAUAUGAGAAUGUAUAGUGUCUUAAAUGAUGUGCACAUGUAUUCCGAUUAUUAUAAGGUGAGUCUGCGCUCAAGAGAUUUCCGUUCGUGCUGUAAGGUGGGUCUGCGGUCUGCAUCUGCCCUUACCUUUUCAUUAAUUUAUUAAUCUGUUCCGUUAUUCAAGUUCAAACAUGUGCAACUUUCUUUGUUGAAUUUUACACACAGGUGAUGGCGCAAUGGCAAAUACCAAUCACAAGUCUACACAGGUAAGUUCAGUUGCAGGAAAGCAAGAUACUCAUAUAUUAAUAAUAGAUUUGUCCCUUUUCCACAACAUGAUAAACUUAUUCUUUCUAGUAUAAAAUUUAUUUAAAAGAAAUAAUAUUAUCAAUAUAAAAUUUAUAAAUUUUAUUUAUAAAAUUAUAAAGUUCAUAUUGAUAAUAUUACAAUUAAUUUUAAAUAAAAUUUAUGCUAUAUACCAAAAAUAAGUUUAUUAUGUUUAUGUUAGAUUAAUCUAAUAAAUAAUUAUAUUGACAUAAGGAAUUUAUAUAUAAAAAAUUUAUUAAUUUGUUAAUAUAAUACAUAUUAUUAUUUAUGGAUAUUUAUAUAGUUAUACUCAUAAUUUCUUUUUCGUGCUAGAGAUAGCUACGCCCAUGAUUAGCUUCCGCCCUCGCUCUCUGCUCCGCAAUUUAUUUUGUAAGUGAAUAAAGCAUGUACAUAAGUGUUUGGUUCAUUUUAUUAUUAUAUGAAAAUAAGAAAAUUUUCUAUCAUUUUAUUUUUAUUAAAAAAUAAAAAACACUGAUCAAAAUAAAGAUCAAAUGCUAAUUUGUUUUCCGGCGAAUAUUAAUGAUAAUUUUUUGUUGCUUAAAUAUAUUUUUAUUUUCUUAAAUUUGGAAUUUGUCUUUUCAAGUCUUAAUUUCAAAUUAAAAUUUAUAUAUUUUAGUCUUUUAAAUUUGUAAAAUAUAUACUAUUUUAAUCCCUCUCAGAAUGAUUUUUGACAAUAACUUUUCACGACAAGAGGGAUAAAAAAAAUAUUACAUAUUCAAGAGAUUAAAAAUAUAUUUUAUUUUUUUAUAACUGAGAAUUAUCUUAAGAUUUUAUUUAAUACUCAAUUAGUCUAGGGUCAAUCCAUUUUGAGGUUAAAUAAUAUUUCCAUAAAUCAAACUUCAGAAUUAUUACAAAUAAUAUCUUCCAUCGCCACAACGCUUCCAAACGGAAGGGCAUCCUUCGCUUUCCCGUUGGGCUUGGCGACAAACACCAUGCUGGGCUUUGGGGUCGUCACAACGUUAUAGAUGAAGAAGUGAAGGUGGGUGAACUUCUCCUCGCGAAAACCCAGAAGUGUUGGGAUUAAACUUGAAUAAUAAGUGCCCGUGACCAGAGAAAAGAUAAGGCAGAUGAAGAGAGUGGAUUUGGCCAUAAGAGAGGAUAUCGUUAAGAACUAAGCAAAUAUAGAACAGAUGGGUACGAUUGAAGUGAUGCCGAAAACGGCGGGGGGAAAAG